UCAACUGUUAAGUGAUUUUAGUGUUUGUGUUUUAUCUCUCAAAAGGUUGGCCUGUAAACCACUUCAGGACAAGACUGAUGAGAGCUUUGAAAGCUUCUGGAUCAUAUAAUUUGAGUGCAUUACUUUCUAAAGAUUGAUACAUCUGUGCACAUAAUUUUUACCUCUAAUUGGUACUGACAUGGAAGAUGGCAUGUACUGUAGACAUUUGAAGGAAAUGCUGAAAUAUAUCUUGCUUUAUGCUAACCUAUAUCAACAAAGUAAGAGUGCUUGGAUAUGUUGAGUUGUGUGUGCAUAUGUAUAUACUUGAUUGCAAUAUCAGGGUUGCUUGGGUGGUGGUGUGGGUAAUCUGUGCAGUAGAGUGAAGUGUGCCUUUUUCUCCCUGCCACCUGACUGGAGUAACCUUUCCAGUUGCUAUACCCUUUAAAGUACCCUGUCGACUCUGGCUGCACACUGAAGUUUAAUUUGCAUUGUAUUGCAGGAAAUGCAGUGUUUUAAAACUACUGUGGUGGUUUUGUCCUUCAUUCAGGCACAACAUAUUUUGAUUUAUGGUGGGGAAUAUUUUAUUGAGUGGAUACUUUAGAAGUGUGAACAAUUGGAAAAGGAAAAUGCAACUGAUUUCUAUUACUAUUUAAUAUUAUGCUCAUCUGUGGCCUCUUAAGUAAUGAGUACUUGUUUACAUAUUACAGAAUAUGGAUUAUAAUUUUAUAAACAUAUUGUUUAUAGUUGCAUAUUGGUUUCCUAAAUAAAAGAAAGAAAAGUGAUACUGGCUUACAGAAAUACUUGCACUCAGAUGGUCAUUGAAGUCAAAAGAAGUCACUGGAUGGGAUGGGACGGGACGGGAGGAGUUUGUGCUUUAUGGACUGCCCUUCCCGUAGCUCAGAAUGAUGACCUAUACAACCUCAGCAAAUCCUUCUUUUAACUCAUGGGUAUCAAGACUAUAAAUGUUUCAUGCUAUCACAACUAGGACCUCACCUCCUCCUCCUCCUCCUCUUCCUCUGUAAAUGGGUACGAUGCAUCCAGUUCAGUUUGUUUACUUUACACAAACCUCAGGAGUUAGUUGACUGAGCUGCACAUCCUGUGUUGUGCCAAGCAGA
rnacentral:lncRNA from 1 species